GUGAGGAAUAUUGCGCAAUGGAGGCAACUCUGACGCAGCCAUGCCGCGUGCAGGAAGAAGGCGCUACGCGUUGUAAACUGCUUUUAACCGGGAAGAAACCCCAGGACGUGUCCUGGGUUGACGGUACCGGAGGAAUAAGCACCGGCUAACUUCGAGCCAGCAGCCGCGGUAAUACGAAGGGUGCAAGCGUUAUCCGGAUUCAUUGGGUUUAAAGGGUGCGUAGGCGGAGCGUUAAGUCAGUGGUGCAAUCCUGCAGCUUAACUGUAGACUUGCCGUUGAUACUUGCGCGCUAGAGUGAGCUUGAUGUGGGCGGAAGGAGCCGGGUAGCGGUGAGAUGCUUAGAUAUGGCACAGAACAACAAUUGCGAAGGCAGCUCACUAAGGCGAUACUGACGCUGAGGCACGAAAGCGUGGGGAUCGAACAGGAUUAGAAACCCCUGUAGUCC
rnacentral:rRNA from 1 species